UUCUGUGCAGGGUUGUAAAAUGUCACAGAAAUGUCAUAAAAAAUGUCAUUACAUUUUCCAAUCCUACCAUUUCUAACGCAAAUUUUCAUCCGUGAACACAAACCUUCAAUAGUUAUAGUGAAAUAACGAUAUCGUUGAUGAACAUUUCUUGCUGUGGGCAAAUAAAUAGGCAAAUAACCAAAUGUAAUUUUUUUUUUUACAUUUUACAACACUGGUCCUGUGUAAUAGUGAGCAUGUCGUAUUACUUUAUCACCAUUGAGAAGUUAUAAAGUAUUUGAUUUUGUUACAUCUGUCUUUUUCAACUUAAUCACUAGGAAGGAUUCUGAUUGAUGUGUUCCGCUUUUAGCACACUCCUUUUUCAGUCAAAAUCGGAUCCCUUAACGAAAAGGUCAAGAAAUGAUACCAAUAUUGACCAUGCAGUGAAUACCGAAUAAAAGAUUAGGGUUACUUAUCCAUUUUUUCCUUGUUUCAAGAUGCAACUCGGCUAUACCAAAACCGAGACCUAUCACAUUUAACAUGAUGUGAAAUAUAAUAAGGACUAAAGUGUUUUCCUUUGAUUACUGAAAUAUGCUGUUCCACUAGUUGGAAGCAGUUAGCACUAGAGUUCGGUUUGGUAGAUCUUUCGCCGCAAGGCAACUCAAAAAAAUGAUCUACGCACGCUACGGGCUCCGUUGAAGAUCGAGCAUCCUUAAAACCCCUUUAUUUAUCCUGUUACAUUUAGAAAAGUAAUUAAGAGUAAUUAGUCGAGGUCAACGUCUGUAACACAUAAACACAAGCAGAAUAAUAACCACAAAAAUAUGUGUAACAAAUCUCACAAGUGUAUUGCUAUAAAAACAGUAUUUGCAAGAAAUAAAAAUCAAUUGCAAGCCAGCUGUCACUGUCAUUCCUCCCCGCUCGCCUCAAUCAACUUCCGCCGAAUAGAAAGCAGACGUCGCAAAUAAUUUGAGGUAGUCAGAACCUCAUGAGAAGUUGAUAGAGCCGGUCGUUCGUCGUGUCGCAGCAAACUCCAGGCAAGAACAUCAGCCAAUCGAGCACAGGCAGGAGUCGGAUUCGGCUCAGGUAGGAGUAGGAGUUGACUAGCGUUGGAGGCAUCCACAGGUGGAGUAAUGUCGAUACUCUUUGCAGCUCGAGGAAAAAUCACGAUUGACAGCCAGUGCCAUUCAACCCAUCUACCUUGUGGACGUGCGGCCAAAUUGAAAGUCGAGCAGCAGGACUGUGGGUACUACCAUUUUCGCACUCACGCUGAUCACCUGCGUCGAGAAAUCAGGCGUGCAGCAAACUGGUCACACGAGGAGCCGGAUACUUGUGAGGAUUCACCCUUUCCAAUCACCCUUUAUUAAGCGAGCACGUGGCGCUGCAGAUCAAAAGAUAACCGUCACGUACAUCCGUACGAUUGGUGCAGUGUCCGCAGAACCGGCGUGAGGUUUCACAGUCGCAGUUCAGCAUUCGGAACCAAGCAAAGGCCUUCCAGAGGAAGUACGUGUGGUGGUCUAAAGAUCUAAAGUUACACGAAACUAAUCAUACCGUUUGCAGGGCCUUUUUUUUCUUAACGCAUGCUCAGCUUGGUAGACCGGUCGGACACCUAGGCCAUUAGAACAGCGCCCAGCUGCAUAAUCGCUGGCGGAACAUUCCCGAGCCUGAGGACUCGCAUCGAGCAUACCGGAACGGUGGCCAAGCAUCUCGCACGUCGGCACGCCAGUCUGCCGAACGGGCGCAGGCCUUCUAACACGAGAGCGGGGCGGAUAGCGACAACGCGGGCCAGCCGUGGCGGCGCAGACAGUCGGCAGCAGUUCAUACCUACACCGGCACCCCGGAUCGAUCCCGGAAGCCAGGGUCGACAUUGUCAGCGAGGGAGCACUCGUGAGUUCAAACAAAUGCUUGUACAUUAGAUUAAGAGAGGCCGGUGUGGCCAUACUAGUAGGAGAUUUAGGGCCCCGAGAGAUGAAUAAGAGAAAGACAAUAUAGAAGAUGAAUAUGAAAGUUGUGGGAUUUAUUCAGUUGAGCCAUUAGCCCUCAGUGCAUGCAGCUUCGCUUUGUCAGCAAUAUUUGCGUUUUUUAGCUGCCGAUUUAGAAGAGUAACAAUCCUUCAGCACGGAUCGCCUGACAUCUUGGAUCGGGAUUACUUGUUUGCUCCCGAACAGGUGAUCCGUAGUGCUAUUCUAAGCCGGCAGCUGCACGGGCACCGAUUAGUCUUGAGAACCGUCAUAAAACCAAAUCAAAUGAGUUUAUAAUGCUUUGGUGAUUAAAAGACAUAAAAAAACACUGUUCUGCAUACUGUAAAACAACUCGUAUUGCCAUCUAAUCGAACAAAAGCUUGCUACGAGGUACGGAGAUGGCUAAUUGGUUCCAUAGCUUGGAGGAAAUAAGCGCCCGUCCAGUAAAUUGGGACUCGUGGGUUCGAUUCUCACCGGAGCACGUGGAUUUCUUUUUGCAAUUCAAAUUUCAAUUUUUCCAUCAAACACGUGUUUUUGUUGCAUGCAUGGGUGUUAAAGUAUAUUCAACAAUCUGAGACAAGUGAUCUUCAACGUCGAAAUCUGGAUAAUUCAUCUCAAACUAUUGCACUCCAUGAAGUUCAUUGUCGUGAUUUAGAAUAUCUUAGUCGUAUUAUCCAUGGUAUGUAAAAGCGAAAAUAACAGAAUGUCGCAAGUGCGGUUCUCCAAACUAUUCUUCAAAAUUCACUAUUUACUUCACCUAUAACAUUCGAUGUUCAAAUCGAUCAAUCAUUCCAGUACAUAAUCGUCUACCACAUAAUGGCAUAAUAACAUUAACAACGGACUCUAAAAUAUAGUAGUAGAAAUAGAAAACCGAAUAUCAAACUAGGAAGCCUAAAUAACAGUUAUUAUGUAUGUAGUUGUGCUGGACAGGCAGUUCAAUCUUGCAUGUCUCAUUUGAUUCCUAUGAGCUAAUCAGCCUUCUAAAAUGGGCCAUCCUCGCCACCUUAAUGGGUAUUGAUAACCAUUCGAUAGAAAUCGAAAGCAACGAUUCCUAACCGGAAACAACUAGGGUAUUGGUUCCCUUAUUAAGCAUGUGGCUCCCAUUUUCAUCCUACGAAAAACAAAGGAUUGAAGCGCAGUUUGUUUUGUUUCUUAUUUUUGUAUUUUUUGUUAGAAGUGAGCACCCAUGAAAACAAAAAGAACGGAAACAAUCGGUGCCGUAAUCGCUUGUUUUCGAAUAGGAUGAAUAUGGGAGCGUGAGAUUACUAAUGGCACACAUGUCCUACUAGGCGAUUCAGAUGGCGCCUUGAAGAAAGUUACUGAGCAGGAGUUGAAAACUAUGUUCUUUCCUCGGCCAAUAUAAAGUGUGUCAAUGAACUAUCAAUGCAAAUUAAUUAAUGACGCUGUCAAAGCUAACAUACCAAGAAUAGGUUGCAAGCCAGGUACUAGGUAUUGAUUAACUGCCUAGACUGAAAAGGAGAGAGGGGUGGAUCCCAAAAAUCCGAAGAGUGCGGUGAGUGGGAUUGUCACUGCAAGGAUUUUUCCAGAAUUUGUUCAGGA